rnacentral:rRNA from 1 species
AUUGAACGCUGGCGGCAUGCCUUACACAUGCAAGUCGAACGGUAACGCGGGGCAACCUGGCGACGAGUGGCGAACGGGUGAGUAAUGUAUCGGAACGUGCCCAGUUGUGGGGGAUAACUGCUCGAAAGAGCAGCUAAUACCGCAUACGACCUGAGGGUGAAAGCGGGGGAUCGCAAGACCUCGCGCAAUUGGAGCGGCCGAUAUCAGAUUAGGUAGUUGGUGGGGUAAAGGCUCACCAAGCCGACGAUCUGUAGCUGGUCUGAGAGGACGACCAGCCACACUGGGACUGAGACACGGCCCAGACUCCUGCGGGAGGCAGCAGUGGGGAAUUUUGGACAAUGGACGAAAGUCUGGUCCAGCCAUGCCGAGUGCGGGAAGAAGGCAUUCGGGUUGUAAACCGCUUUUGUCAGGGAAGAAAAGGCUCCUUCUAAUAUAGGGGGCUCAUGACGGUACCUGAAGAAUAAGCACCGGCUAACUACGUGCCAGCCGCCGCCGUAA